rnacentral:lncRNA from 1 species
GGAUGAUAAUUUUUUCAGAAUUUGGGGUCAUGAGUUUUAACUCCAGAUCUGUUUGUCGUUUAUUUCAGCCUAUCCAAGCCUUUAUAUCUUAUCUGGAAAACAGGACAAUCAGUUUCUCCUCACAGCACAGUGAAAUUUAAAUAAGAUAAAUGAAGACUUCUGUUAUAAUGCCUGGAUGGAGCCAUAUGUCCCCCACCCCUGACCAACACCCUGACCAGAGGAAUGCAGGACUCAGAUUGGCCAGGAGGAGUGCCAAGCCAAAGGAUUCCCUCCCUCCACAGCAGGAAGACAGUCCUUUGAGUCAGUGCCAGGGACUCCCGGAUGCCUCUGCUGGCAAGACCUGCUGUGGCAGAUGGAAUUUAUGGACUUCAGUGCCCUGAAUGGGAAUAGCUAGACAAAGAAGAAAGAAAUCCAGACUUGGGCCCACAUGCUCAUCUACUAACAGUUUGCAUGCUUGGAUGAAGGGCUGUGUUGGUGAGGUCCACAUGUCAGGGAAUUAAGAGCAACCUCUGAUCAACAACCAGUAAGGAACUGAGGACCUCAAUAUGACAGCCCUUGAGGAACUGAAUUCUGCCAACAACCAGAGCCAGCUUGGAAGCAGUCCUUCCCCAGCUGAGCUUUCAGAUGAGAACUCAGCUCCAGCUGACAACUUGAUUGCAGCCUUGAGAGAGACCCUGAGGCAUGAGGACCUGCUAAAGCAUGCCUGGAUUCCUGGCCCAUAGAAACUGUGUGAUAAUAAAUACAUGUUUUUUUAAGCUA